rnacentral:lncRNA from 1 species
AGUCCUUCGCCGUCCCUCGCCGUCCUUCGCCAUCGCACGCCACCGCACCCCAUCUCUCGAAAUCUGCAGACAUCUUGAUUUUUCCCACGCUGUCUGUCAGGUCUCCGCCGCCACUCGACGCCAGGGCGCCGGGCCUUGUGGGCUGUGCUGCACCUCGGACGGCUUCGCACCAGCCAGCGCCCUCUCUCUCCUGCAGCACUCUGAUCUGCACCCCCUGAGGGGCUUCCACUGUCCGCGGGGUGAGAAUGCCCCUGGGAGUGUCACAUGACUGCCGCCCCAUGUGUGUGAGAGGCGUCCUCUGGGAGAGCAUGGAUCCUGAGGUCCCAGGAUUGUCAGCUGACCUCUGUCCUGUGUGCCCAGUGGCCCCAGGUGACGUGUCUUCAAGAAGAGGCUGAGCUGCGGUGCUUGUAAGGGUCUCAUUCUGUCACCCAGGCUGGAGUGCAGUGGUGCAAUGAUGGCUCACUGCAGCCUCGACCUGGGCUCAAGUGAUCCUCCACCUCAGCUUCCUGAGUAGCUGGGACCACAGGUCUCAGCCUUAGAUCCAAGGACAGUCCAAGGAAGUCCUAAGACCAUGGAGUUGGUGAUCUGGGAUCUGGGUUUGCUGAUAUUUCUCACCGUGAAUCUCUUGGUGGUGUUUGUGGGCACGAGAGGGGCAGAGAAUGGAGAGUGAGGCUACCACAUGAAGCGUCACCAGAGCUGCUCCCUGCUGCCUGCUCAGAGCACCCCGGAUCCACUGUUCAAUCUGCACAAGAUUCGGGGUCCAGACAUGGGAGACUUCAGCUGCCUCAGAGGACCGUGGACAGGGAAGGCCAGCCUCGCAUCCCUCUGUCCAUGCCUGGAAUGACUUUAAUAACCAAGAGUUUUAUUUUUGAAUUUGUAGCUGUCGUUCACUUUUUACCCACCCAUUCAAUAAACCUUACAGAAUUGCUCCA